GCCUGGGUGGCUCAGUUGGUCAAGCAUCCGACUUUGGCUCAGGUCAUGAUCUCAUGCUUCGUGGGUUUGAAUCCCACAUCGGGCU
rnacentral:tRNA from 1 species